rnacentral:rRNA from 1 species
UUAGAACGCUGGCGGCAUGCCUUACACAUGCAAGUCGAACGGCAGCACGGGAGCAAUCCUGGUGGCGAGUGGCGGAACGGGUGAGUAAUAUAUCGGAACGUGCCCUGGAGGUGGGGAUAACGCAGCGAAAGUUGCGCUAAUACCGCAUACGAUCUAAGGAUGAAAGCAGGGGACCGCAAGGCCUUGUGCUCCUGGAGCGGCCGAUAUCUGAUUAGCUAGUUGGUGGGGUAAAGGCCUACCAAGGCAUCGAUCAGUAGCUGGUCUGAGAGGACGACCAGCCACACUGGAACUGAGACACGGUCCAGACUCCUACGGGAGGCAGCAGUGGGGAAUUUUGGACAAUGGGCGCAAGCCUGAUCCAGCAAUGCCGCGUGCAGGAUGAAGGCCUUCGGGUUGUAAACUGCUUUUGUACGGAACGAAACGGUGAGCUCUAAUACAGUUUGCUAAUGACGGUACCGUAAGAAUAAGCACCGGCUAACUACGUG